rnacentral:rRNA from 1 species
AACGAACGCUGGCGGCAUGCCUAACACAUGCAAGUCGAACGAAGCCUUCGGGCUUAGUGGCGCACGGGUGCGUAACGCGUGGGAAUCUGCCCUUGGGUACGGAACAACAGUUAGAAAUGA